rnacentral:lncRNA from 1 species
GCCAAAUCACCUGACUGUAUCACGUGAGCUGCUGCACAUCCAGAAUUGUCUCUGUGGUAGCAGGUGACUCAAGAUCUGAAGCCAACACUGCCAGAUCUUCCUGGGAUCUAGCUGAGCACCCAGCCCAGCCCGCUCCAUCCUAUGGGAGCAUAGGGAACUACUGUCAUUCUCCACCCAUGGAUUAUUCCUGCAGGUCCUCCUCAUCUUCUCCACCCUGCCAGUUCCACAGGUUGCUGCAGAGCUGGACUGCAAGGGAAGCCAGGGUUCAUGGUGUGGAUCAGCUUUCUCAAACCAAGGGGCUGCAAAAUUCGGUGUCAUACCGCAUUCCUCACCAUGUGAAUCACAGGCCGUCACAGCUGCUGGGUUUGGGUGGAUCACCUUGUUCAGUAGCGUGAUCAACUGGCUGAUAGAAAGCAGGAAAAACAGAGUGAUUUCCUGGCAGCAGGUCUAGAAGUGACGUAUGGAAAUGUUUCUUCAUACCGGUCGUGGUUAGCUGGUGGAACGCAUUGCUGCAAGAGCACAUUGAGACGGGCUCUAAAGAAGAAUGAACAUCUAUCAUUUUAUUUCUAACUCCCAAGAUUUAGACCUGUAAAGCCUAAAUAUACAGAUGAGAAUGCUAGGAGACAAAACUUCACACACCACAGGAAAUGAGCCAACUCCUAAUAGAUGGUUUACAGGAGAAUCUUCUGACAUACUACCUAUUUAUUUCACCAGUUUUCAUAGGUGGCUGAGAAAUAGUGAUGAGACUACGUUAGAUAACUGACAGUGUGACAGUUUGACAGCUGCUUAUAAUUUAGGCUAUGCUUUGGACUUUACCAAAAACUUCAGCAAUUUAUACCAAAAGUGAGAUGGUAUUUUCUUGUAUGUUUCCCACCAUUUCUGAGUCCUAACAUUAGUUUCUAUGCAACAAUGCUUAGCUAAGAAAUCAUAGUAGUUUCCAGCUUUAGUGAACAAUCAGUUUUAUUCCUCACUGCCACAGAACCUUUGAUCUUGAUGAUAACCUAAUUUUGCCUGUUCUGUGUGCCUGGAAUAAGGUUGCUGAAUGUUAGAAAUGGUAGAAUUUUAUUUGAUGAACUUGUAUCCUGCUUCGCCUUGCAUUAAUUGCAUACAGGAAUGUCAAAAGGAUAAGAAUCCAUUAUUUUAAAAUGCAAUGCAAGUGAGAAUAAUUCAUAUGGAGCUAUUGGUCUCUGUGACAGCAGAAUCUGUCAAGAAGAGUCCUUACUGUCACUGUGCACUGUUGAUGCUGCUUCCUGAGCUCUACAUUUCACUAAAAUGUUAUUAUUUUAUAGCAUCCAUAGCUUUUUGGUGUUUAAAGUAGAUUGAGCAAGUUUCUAUUGCUUCUGGC